UUGAAACCCUAAAAGUUCCCUCUUCAUCUUCGUCUUCUGUUGUCGCUCCACCUAUUCCUCUAUCUGCCCAAAUAGUCGUCGUUGGGGUUAAUCACUAGUUUUUGGUCGUGUGUUGCCUGCAACCCUUUCCAUUUCUCUGCAAUUGGCUUUUUAUCCAGGAGCUUGUGCCUUGUAGGAGUAGAGAAGUUCCGCAAGCUGGUUGCCUCUUCCGACAUGCCUGCUCUCCCUGAUAAGUUCCUCACACCGAUACAAAUUCCGAAGGAAGAGCGCGUUCUGACCCAUAUUUUACAGGUUAGCAACACCAAAUAUGUAUUAGUUGUCCUCGACAAAUUCGAUGCACAACAGAAGACUAUGUUCGAGGAAAGUUGUUUAGGACAUGUCGUGAAGUUGCUCAAGCUCAAAUUAUCUGCAUAAUUAGUUCAUGAAAUGGUUAAUAGAUGAGUGAUUUGCUGAAAACGUUUUGAGGCUUGGUUCAAGGUCAAUCAAUGGUUUACAAGAUUUGGAAUGUCGGAGUUCUCACUGAUCACGGGCUUAAAUUGUGGUGAAUUGCCUAAAAGGUUGGCUUUCGACAACAUUCUAGAGAAAACUAGGCUACGAGACAAAAUGUUUAUUUAUGGAGGUUGGAUAACUUUUAGCGAUUUGUAGAAGGUUUUCUUGAAAUGUGCUAACCGUAACGAUCGUUACAAACUUGGUUUGGUAUAUAAUUAUUGAAGGGGUUUUAAUUCGAGAUACCUAAAUGUGGGGAUUCAUCCUAAACUCUCGUCAUUAUGGACGACUUAGAUUUCUUCAUUGCUUACUCAUGGAGGACAGUAUGUUUUAAACUUCUUAUCAAAUUAGUGCUCCGUGGAUGAAGGAGAAAUGUGGACUUGGCAAAGGUCAACGAUUAUGACAGGAUGUCUUACACGUACGGAUUCCUUCUUGCUAUUCAGUAUGUCUGUUUAUUUCAUUCAUAUUCAUUGUACAUUGUUAUUUAUGUCCGUAUGUGGUAAUCACUGUUAUACAUGUGCUGCAAUUGUGGGUGUACGAGGCAAUCCCAAAGUUGGGAGCUCGAUUUGUGAGCAAGAUUAGUGACGACCUUUCGAGGAUGUUGCGGUGGUCACCACCAAAUAGCCUCAAUCGAGAACAUAUUUAAAUUUCUUCGACAAGACACACAUGAGCAUUUAUAUAUACAACUGCCCUUACACUAGUAGCAUAUAUCACAAUUUUAUUUGACAAGACACUUUUCCUCCCUUUGUGGUUGCACUUGUGGACACUAUCUCUGAAGAAGAAUAGCAGCCAUACUUUGCUACUUUACUUCCAUUAGAUGAUGUUACUGACCAAUUUUUGACAAUCUCGUCAUUCAAUCAACUGAAAUACAAGAUUACCUGUCAGAAGGCAAAGUGAUACGCAAUGACGAGAAAAACAACCGAUGCAACAGAUUCAGGAGAGGUAACACAAGUGGGAUUCGUCUUCGAGAUUUCAGUGACGAUGAAGGGGGAGAAAAAGAGCAUUGUGAUCCAGUCCAGGACUUUCCAUCCAUUUUUGGCUUGGAAAAUCAUCUAAUAGCAAGCCAUGUGUAUACGGAUGAGAUAAAAGGCAUGUUGAUUUAACAUAGAGAGUUCAUUGGGAUUACGCUGGGUAAAUUGAGGGACAAAAUGAACGCAAGGUUCAAUGGUCUUGAAAAGAAAAUGGGGGAUCAUGUGCACAAGAUGAAUGAGCAUUGACUGAUUAGAUAAGUGUGAUCAAAUGAAAGUUUGAGGAUGUAGUUACAGAAAUUGGGAGAGAAAAUGUGCGUGAUGAGUAUGGUGCAUUUGGUUAUGGUGAUGGUGAUGGAGAUAUGCAGAAACGUGAUUACUAUGAUGAUUUCUCGUUGCCCAACACUACAAUUGACGAACAACAUGUCGAGGCAACAAGAGUACAUGCUAGCAAUGUUAAGGCAACCAAACUAGAUGUUGGCCACGUCAAGGCAACCGAAGCAAAUGCUGUAAGCAUCGAGGCAACCAAACUAGAUGCUCGCAACGUCGAUGAGUUGUCCAAAAAAUGCUUAGAUAUGGUUGCCACCAAUGCUAUACUGCCAUCUUGAGCUUGAUCCCUCAGGGUAAAGCUGUCAAAUGCUAGCACUCAGACUCCUUUUAUACGGUUCGAUUGUAGAAAGGGUAAGAGAGGUGUGUAGUUAGUUUACAAUGUUGGUGGAGUAUGGCAUUGUAUGUUUUGGAAAAUAUUUAUAACCUCAUUUUGUGUGCCAUCAUUAGGCAAAUUUUUUGGUUGAUGGUACAAUUCUCAUUGUUGAUGUAGAAUUGAAAUGGGUAUAAGAGUAUUUUAUUUCAGUAAGUACAUGUUGUUUAGGACUUAUAUUGUGCACACAUUUGAAAUGUCAGUUUACGAGAAUAACAUGUAUUUUAUGUCGAGAACAACACUUUAAAUGUCGAGACAUGUCUGGAAUGUAUAAAACUCUAGGAAAUAGAAUGAAAUCUUGUUAGAUACAUGAACUAUUAAAUGUUGAGAUAAAUUGGGUCCAAAUGUCGAUAACGACUUUUCAAAUGAAGAAAACUUGAUGAAAUGUUAAGAAAUAUAUGAACUGUCGAGUGUCAAGAUAAACAAGGUCAAAUUGUUGAUAAUGACAUUCCAAAUGACGAAAACAUGGUGAAAUGUUAAGAACAAAUUUGAACUGUUCGGUGGACUGGCAAGAUGACAACGAGAUUUCCCAAUAUGAUUUUAACAAAAUGUGUGUUAUAAAUUCAUGUUGGUAAUAGAUACAAUUUCACUAUUUACACGACAAGCACAAAAUCUACAACCUAUAUCGUUAAAAUCAAUUGUAAAUACAUGGAAUAGGAGUUGGUGUGUACUCUUCUAAUGUAAGUACACCUCAUUAACCAUGCUUUACACCUCUACAUAAGCAUGCAUAUGUGUUGAAAGCUAAUGUUUAAACACAAUUCUUCACAAGAAAUUCCUAGUAGGAAGAGCUUCUUUCAACUAUGUCUUUUUCAACCUAAGAAACACCUCGUGUCGAUAUUGCUGUGAACCUUUUCCCGCCCGGGUCUUCAACUGGUGAAGUUUAUGUAGUUUGGUAGUUGAUGAACUUCUAGAUAUGAUUUCUCCUUAAUGUUGUUUGAAGUGUAGUGCGUUGACAUUUAAUGAUCUUGAAAUCAUAGUUCACGACAUUUAUGUUUUGUAAUGUUCUUUCAAUGACUAUGAAGUGUUGAAAUGAAUUGUGAAAUUGCAAAAGUAUAUUAUUCAUCAUUGACAAACUUGAUAUUAACAUGAAUAAAAAAAAUAUUCAAGUGUGAGGAUUACUCAAUGGUCUUGGGUUCCAACAUGUUUGCCUAUUGUAUCUGUAACCACCGCACCAUCUAUAUUUUCAAACGUUCAUCGACCAUUUAAGUCUUGAUCGUUUUCAUUGGGUAGGAAGUUGUCCUGGUGAUCUACAUAUAGUUUGGGGGUGAAAUGUAGAUGGAACGAAUCGAAUGAGGAAUAACCUAAUCGGACACCAUUCCAGUUGAAUGAAUGACUUCGUUGUAUGCAGCUUGGCAGAACUGAGUGGUAUAGUAUGGGGAAAGCAAAUCAUAAAGUAGGGGUGUCAAAAAAGCUCGGCGGUUCAAGCGGCUUGCGGCCUCGGCUCGAAGAAAAAGAGGCAGUAAGGUAGAAUUAUGCCAAGUUUGUUGCCUUUAAAAAGGCAGUUUUAAAGGGGGGGG